UUAGAUGAUUUAACAAGUUUAUACAAUUCUUAUUGUCAUAUAGCAGAGAAUGGCUGGUUUGAUGUUUGAUGUAUGAUGGUGGUCCAUAACUGUAUAAAGCAAUUGGAACUGAGGUGCUUCAUACAUUUAUAAGAAUCAUCCUGUGAAACUAUGUGAAAAUACAGUAAAAUGAACACUGGGUUUUAUCUUUAGCAGUCAUUCAGGAAGGCAGUGGCCAAAGAGCGCAAGAAGAGUGCUGAUAGAGAGAGAGAGAAGGCUGUUUCAGGCAUGUCACAGAUGUGCGGUGGACAUUAAGCCUUUAUUUGCAAUUGGACUCUAAGUCGCUACUCCUCCCUUAAGAAGUUUAUCCGCCUGUACAUGUAUUUGCGCUACAGUCAUAAGAGGGGGGAUGAAGACAACGCAAAGUGGGUGGUUUACUUUGAGAAGUGUUUGGUUUAAAAGAGAGAGAGAAAGAAAGAGAGAGAGACCGAUAAAGUUGAGGCAAGCAAGGAAGUCAGAUUACAGCACUCUAUAAACAUCUUACAGUGCUUACCAAGACAUCUUACCAGUGAACAAGAGCCUUGUGAAGACAGAGAGGAGGAUAUAACACAUCUUUGAACUCCUUUUCUUUCAACGAGAAGAAUGAAAUCUCAAAUAAAGAGAACGUUUUCAAACUUCUUCUUUGAAUACGAAACUCCUCGACAGGUUCUGGUCAGGAACAAAAGAGUUGCAGUUGUGUGCCGAAUCAUCCAAAUGGGUGUUCUAGCUUACAUCAUUGGGUGGGUGUUCAUGUAUGAGAAAGGCUACCAGAUAGUAGAUAUUGCCAUAAGCUCCAUCUUCACCAAGAUGAAGGGAGUGUCCUUCACAAAUAUCAGCGAAAAGGAGCGGAUAUGGGAUGCAGCUGAUUAUGUUUUUCCUGAACAGGGUGACUCGUCUUUUGUUGUGAUGACGAACUACAUUGCCACUGUGGGACAGAAACAGGACAAAUGUCCUGAGCUGCCAGAUGGGAAGAACAAAUGCACUUCUGACGCACACUGUGAUGAGGGCAAAUACAAACGUAUGGGAAAUGGGCACAUGACGGGCAGGUGUAUAAACGAUACAAGUACUUGUGAGAUCUACUCCUGGUGUCCAGUUGAAGAUGACCGUAAAAUACCAGACCCUCCAGUCCUGCUGACAGCAGAAAACUACACACUGUUCAUCAAAAACUCGAUUACCUUUCGCCAGUUUAAUGUAGUAAGGAGUAACUUGGUGGAGAGUGUGAAUCAGAGUUACAUCAAUACAUGUUUGUAUCAUCCCAAGACUGAUCCACUGUGUCCUAUCUUCAGAUUGGGAGACAUUGUUGAGCGUUCUGGGUUCAGUUUCUCAGAGAUAGCUCGUGUGGGUGGUGCUAUAGGAGUCCUCAUUGACUGGGACUGCAAUCUGGACCUGAGUAUCAGACACUGCAAACCAAAGUAUGAAUUCUAUGGUCUUUAUGGAACGGGGAAAAAUGAGGACAAAGAAGAGAAACCAUCAUUGGGAUACAAUUUUAGAUAUGCUAAAUAUUAUGUGGAGAAUGGGGUGGAAAAGAGAACGCUAAUGAAGGUGUUUGGUGUACGGAUAGACAUCAUUGUUCAUGGACGGGCAGGAAAAUUUGAUAUCAUCCCUACGUUGACCGCUAUAGGCUCAGGAGUAGGAAUCUUUGGAGUGGCAACCGUUGUGUGCGAUAUGCUGCUCCUAUAUUUAGUUUCAAAGCGAGAUUUCUACAAAAACAUGAAAUUCAAGCAUACAGAAAUCGGGGAAGAGAAAGGAAAGUGAGGCCACAUCUUAACCUCCAGGACUCCCACUCUAGCAGCCUUCUGAGAAAGAAACACAUUGGGGUUGAUAGGAGCAUGGGAAAUGAUCUCAGAUAUGUAUUUGCCCUUCCACAGAAGCCAACCUUGCCCCAGUCAAAGACCGAAAGAGAUCUACCGAAGGAGUGAAGUCUGGAUGGCUGCCAUGACGACUGACUACUGCACUGAAGAGAGAGAGAGAGAGAGAGAGAGAGAGAGAGAGAGAGAGAGAGAGAGAGAGAGAGAGAGAGAGAAAACACCUCAACACUGGAGCUUCAACAAGACGGCUGGGAGACUUGACACAGAACUGUCAGACAUCACUUUUCCUUUCUAAAUAACAUUUCCUUCCCAAACUACUGAGGAAAGACAUUAAAUCAGUGUUAUGAUUUAAGACAUAACUAAUACCCACUGAAUGUGUUCAUAUUGAGAGGCUUAGGACUGUAAAGGUACACAAUUGUAUGAGGGUUUUGAGGUCUUUACAAGGUUCCCAAAGUUUUUGCCAAUUACCAUGUAAUGUCUGGAUAUGUCACCCAUAUUCAACUCUGGAUAAUGUAUCACCUUAAAAUUGCUAUUUUUAUUUACUGA